UACGUAGGGGGCAAGCGUUGUCCGGAAUCAUUGGGCGUAAAGAGCGUGUAGGCGGCCCGGUAAGUCCGCUGUGAAAGUCCAGGGCUCAACCCUGGGAUGCCGGUGGAUACUGUCGGGCUCGAGUUCGGGAGAGGAUGGUAGAAUUCUCAGUGUAGAGGUGAAAUUCGUAGAUACUGGGAGGAACACCGGUGGCGAAGGCGACCAUCUGGACCGAUACUGACACUAAAGUGCGAAAGCGUGGGUAGCAAACAGG
rnacentral:rRNA from 1 species